rnacentral:snRNA from 1 species
GUGCUUGCUUCAGCAGCACAUAUACUAAAAUUGGAAUGAUACAGAGAAGAUUAGCAUGGCACCU